rnacentral:lncRNA from 12 species
GAUUACCCAAUAAAUAAAAUUAUUGGUAGGUUGUUAUUUAAAACUUUAAAACUUAAUUAAAAGACUUGAUUGCAAUUAGAAGCUUUCUUCAGCUGAUGUCUGUCAGGGCACACCAAAGAUUGGAUGACUCACUGAUUAAUAUUGACUUGAGGGCUUUAAUGGGAUAGAAGAAUGUUGGGUAAAUGCUCUUGUAGCUUUCAGGCAGCGGUUUUGUCUCUGACUGAAACUUGGGACUGAAGGUUCAGCCUGUGUUGUUCCUCUCACUUUCAGGGUGGUUGUGAUCUCAAUAACCAUCAAAACGGUAUUUCCUGUUUCUGAGAGACCUGCAUUGAUUAGUCAGGGUUCACAAGGAAGGAGAAAUAGAAAAGGAGACAACGUAGAAGACAAAGAGGCUAUCUCUAACUUGAACUUGUUCAGCAAAUUUUAUCUGCAUUAGUAGCCAUGGCAACUUCAGGAUAAAUAUUGAGUGUUGGCCUUCCAACUGUUAAAAACCUGUAAGUUUCCUAUAAGUCCAUAGUGUAUCUCCAUAGAGACACAAGGUGCAAAACAAUAGAAACUUUUCAUCUGGUUCCAAGGAAAAAGUUUAAAAUAAAAUUAAAUAGAAGAUAGUGCA